rnacentral:lncRNA from 1 species
UUUCAAAGUCAAUUAAUUCAACCGCUUCAGACAUUAAUUGGAAUCGUGAAUUGAAAAUUGUUAAAGCCAGUUUCCCUAAAUUUCAAAAACACACUCCCGUAAGAAACGAACGAGUGUGUGUGUGUGUGUAUGUAUCACGCGCACAGCAGAGAGAUGAGGAAGAAAAACCUAACCCGAACGAAGCGAAGCUUUGAAUGAAGAGCAGGUAGCGAUCGAGAAAAUAGGAGCACUCUGGACAGAACUACGAAUUUGGGAAAUUAGAAGGUAGAAAACCAAAUUAAAUAGAGGAUUGUUUACGAGCACAAGACACGAACCAAGUACCAAACAAAAGCAGGUUUCAUUUUACAAUUGUGUAUUUUACUAUCUCCAAUCGUCAAUUCUUGAAUUAAUUGAAAAAAUCAAAUAAAGGUUUCAAAGUCAAUUAAUUCAACCGCUUCAGACAUUAAUUGGAAUCGUGAAUUGAAAAUUGUUAAAGCCAGUUUCCCUAAAUUUCAAAAACACACUCCCGUAAGAAACGAACGUGUGUGUGUGUAUAUGUAUCACGCGCACACCAGAGAGAUGAGGAAGAAAAACCUAACCCGAACGAAGCGAAGCGAACCGAAGCUAUGAAUGAAGAGCGGAGCACUCUGGACAGAACUACGAAUUUGGAAAAUUAGAAGGGGAAGCAAAUAGAAUUCCAAUCAUGCUACGCCCGGCUCAAAACCGGACUCAAAUUC